UGGGGAAUUUUGGACAAUGGGCGAAAGCCUGAUCCAGCAAUGCCGCGUGUGUGAAGAAGGCCUUCGGGUUGUAAAGCACUUUUGUCCGGAAAGAAAUCCUUGGCUCUAAUACAGUCGGGGGAUGACGGUACCGGAAGAAUAAGCACCGGCUAACUACGUGCCAGCAGCCGCGGUAAUACGUAGGGUGCAAGCGUUAAUCGGAAUUACUGGGCGUAAAGCGUGCGCAGGCGGUUUGCUAAGACCGAUGUGAAAUCCCCGGGCUCAACCUGGGAACUGCAUUGGUGACUGGCAGGCUAGAGUAUGGCAGAGGGGGGUAGAAUUCCACGUGUAGCAGUGAAAUGCGUAGAGAUGUGGAGGAAUACCGAUGGCGAAGGCAGCCCCCUGGGCCAAAUACUGACGCUCAUGCACGAAAGCGUGGGGAGCAAACAGGAUUAGAUACCCUGGUAGUCCACGCCCUAAAACGAUGUCAACUAGUUNUUGGGGACUUCAUUUCCUUAGUAACGUAGCUAACGCGUGAAGUUGACCGCCUGGGGAGUACGGUCGCAAGAUUAAAACUCAAAUGAAUUGACGGGGUCAUA
rnacentral:rRNA from 1 species